rnacentral:rRNA from 1 species
AACGAACGCUGGCGGCAUGCCUAACACAUGCAAGUCGAACGGGAUCCUAGCUUGCUAGGUGAGAGUGGCGGACGGGUGAGUAACGCGUGGGAAUCUGCCUUUUGGUUCGGGAUAACCGCGGGAAACUGCGGCUAAUACCGAAUGCCCUCGUGAGAGGAAAGAUUUAUCGCCAGAAGAGGAGCCCGCGUCCGAUUAGGUAGUUGGUGGGGUAAAGGCCUACCAAGCCGACGAUCGGUAGCUGGUCUGAGAGGAUGAUCAGCCACACUGGGACUGAGAUACGGCCCAGACUCCUACGGGAGGCAGCAGUGGGGAAUAUUGGACAAUGGGGCGAACCCUGAUCCAGCAAUGCCGCGUGAGUGAUGAAGGCCUUAGGGGUUGUAAAGGACUCUUUUUGCCAGGGAAGAUGAUGACUGUACCUGGAGAAUAAG